rnacentral:rRNA from 1 species
ACGGCCCACCAAGACAACGAUGGAUAGGGGUUCUGAGAGGAAGGUCCCCCACAUUGGAACUGAGACACGGUCCAAACUCCUACGGGAGGCAGCAGUGAGGAAUAUUGGUCAAUGGACGAGAGUCUGAACCAGCCAAGUAGCGUGAAGGAUGACUGCCCUAUGGGUUGUAAACUUCUUUUAUAUGGGAAUAAAAUGUUCCACGUGUGGGAUUUUGUAUGUACCAUAUGAAUAAGGAUCGGCUAACUCCGUGCCAGCAGCCGCGGUAAUACGGAGGAUCCGAGCGUUAUCCGGAUUUAUUGGGUUUAAAGGGAGCGUAGGUGGAUUGUUAAGUCAGUUGUGAAAGUUUGCGGCUCAACCGUAAAAUUGCAGUUGAAACUGGCAGUCUUGAGUACAGUAGAGGUGGGCGGAAUUCGUGGUGUAGCGGUGAAAUGCUUAGAUAUCACGAAGAACUCCGAUUGCGAAGGCAGCUCACUGGACUGCAACUGACACUGAGGCUCGAAAGUGUGGGUAUCAAACAGGAUUAGAUACCCUGGUAGUCCACACAGUAAACGAUGAAUACUCGCUGUUUGCGAUAUAC